rnacentral:misc_RNA from 1 species
UCGCGUCUUACGACGGCAGUUUCACUAGAGUUCCCAGCAUUACCUGAUGGCAACUAGUGAUGGGGGUUGCGCUCGUUGCGGGACUUAACCCAACAUCUCACGACACGAGCUGACGACAGCCAUGCAGCACCUGUAACGGCCCCCCGAAGGCACCCCCUGAUCUCUCAAGGGUUCCAGACAUGUCAAGGCCAGGUAAGGUUCUUCGCGUUGCAUCGAAUUAAACCACAUACUCCACCGCUUGUGCGGGCCCCCGUCAAUUCCUUUGAGUUUCAGUCUUGCGACCGUACUUCCCAGGCGGCGAACUUAACGCGUUAGCUUCGAUACUGAGUGCCAAGUUGCACCCAACAUCCAGUUCGCAUCGUUUAGGGCGUGGACUAC